rnacentral:rRNA from 1 species
CUCAGAUUGAACGCUGGCGGCAGGCCUAACACAUGCAAGUCGAGCGGUAGAGAGAAGCUUGCUUCUCUUGAGAGCGGCGGACGGGUGAGUAAUGCCUAGGAAUCUGCCUGGUAGUGGGGGAUAACGCUCGGAAACGGACGCUAAUACCGCAUACGUCCUACGGGAGAAAGCAGGGGACCUUCGGGCCUUGCGCUAUCAGAUGAGCCUAGGUCGGAUUAGCUAGUUGGUGAGGUAAUGGCUCACCAAGGCGACGAUCCGUAACUGGUCUGAGAGGAUGAUCAGUCACACUGGAACUGAGACACGGUCCAGACUCCUACGGGAGGCAGCAGUGGGGAAUAUUGGACAAUGGGCGAAAGCCUGAUCCAGCCAUGCCGCGUGUGUGAAGAAGGUCUUCGGAUUGUAAAGCACUUUAAGUUGGGAGGAAGGGCAGUAAAUUAAUACUUUGCUGUUUUGACGUUACCGACAGAAUAAGCACCGGCUAACUCUGUGCCAG